rnacentral:rRNA from 1 species
GACGAACGCUGGCGGCGUGCUUAACACAUGCAAGUCGAACGCUGAACCCGCUUCGGUGGGGGAUGAGUGGCGAACGGGUGAGUAACACGUGGGCAACCUGCCCCCGGCUCUGGGAUAACUCCAAGAAAUUGGGGCUAAUACCGGAUGUGACCGCUGGCCGCAUGGUCUGGUGGUGGAAAGGGUUUCCGGCUGGGGAUGGGCCCGCGGCCUAUCAGCUUGUUGGUGGGGUAGUGGCCUACCAAGGCGACGACGGGUAGCCGGCCUGAGAGGGUGACCGGCCACACUGGGACUGAGACACGGCCCAGCCUCCUACGGGAGGCAGCAGUGGGGAAUAUUGCGCAAUGGGCGGAAGCCUGACGCAGCGACGCCGCGUGGGGGAUGACGGCCUUCGGGUUGUAAACCUCUUUCAGCAGGGACGAAGCGCAAGUGACGGUACCUGCAGAAGAAGCACCGGCCAACUACGUG